UACAGAGGGUGCAAGCGUUGUUCGGAAUUAUUGGGCGUAAAGGGCGCGUAGGCGGUUCGGCAAGUCUCUAGUGAAAUCUCUGGGCUCAACUCAGAGUCUGCUGGGGAAACUGCCGGGCUUGAGUGUGGGAGAGGAGAGUGGAAUUCCCGGUGUAGCGGUGAAAUGCGUAGAUAUCGGGGAGGAACACCUGUGGCGAAAGCGGCUCUCUGGACCACAACUGACGCUGAGGCGCGAAAGCGUGGGGAGCAAACAGG
rnacentral:rRNA from 1 species